AAUUUGCAAUAAAUUAUAAAAAAUUUUAUUCCGAAUUUUAGCAGUGUGGGUUGUUUCCUAUUAUCGGUAAAAAAAAUAAAUUCCGGUCGAUAACAAAGAUCGGUCGGUAACCCAUACACUGCCCCCUAUUGUCAAUAAUUUCAUUUACAUACCCAAAUGACGUGUGUAAACCGUCUUUUUAUUUUUGUUUUUAUUUCGCAAUUUUCUCAACAAAAUAUUACUUGUUAUAAUUAUAUAAGAGUGUUAUAAUAAUUACAAAAAAUAAUCCUUCAAACUAUUAUAAAUAUUUUUAUUUUUUACUGGUAAUAUAUGACAUUUUAUUUCUUUUCUAUGCAAUCAAUUUCAUGGAUAACAAUGGUGGUGAGGUUAUAUUAAAGGAAUGUAAACCGGCAACGCAAUAAACAACACAUUAAAACAAAUCAACACAAUUCACAAAAUAAUAAACAAUUGGACAAAUGAAUACUAAAGAAUAAUUAUCUAACAUAUAAAUUUAUUAAUAAUCAUCUUGAUUAACAACAAAAUCAUUUAAGUAAUCUAUUAAUUACUUAAUUAUUAUUUAAUAAAACAUAUUUAGAUUACUAUUGGAAAAUUGAAGGAUAUUGGUAUAAAAGAGGCCUUGUUUAUUCGAGUAUCAGGGUCACCAAAGGAUUGCCAAGAUGGGGAGAAUUGUUAAAGUCGCUGUCUGUACGUUGAAUCAAUGGGCAAUGGACUUUGAAGGGAAUUUAGGAAGAAUAUUGGAGAGUAUUGAUAAAGCUAAAAAAGCUGGAGCUACUUUUAGGAGUGGACCUGAGUUAGAAAUAAGUGGAUAUGGCUGUGAAGAUCAUUUUUAUGAAAGUGAUACCACAUUCCAUAGCUGGCAAGUUUUAGCAAGACUACUUGAUUCAACUAUUUGUCGUAAUAUUAUUGUUGAUGUUGGUAUGCCAGUUAUGCACAAAAAUAUUACAUACAAUUGCCGAGUUAUUUUUCUCAACAGUCAAAUAUUAUUGAUACGACCAAAAAUGCGAAUGUGUGAUACAACUCUCUAUAGAGAGAGCAGAUGGUUUUCACCAUGGUCUAAGGAAAAAGUAGUUGAAGAAUUCUGUCUGCCAAGAUUUAUAACUCAGAUAACUGGACAAAAUGUUGUACCAAUUGGUGAUGCUGUGAUUAAUACUCUAGAGACUUGUAUUGGUUUUGAAAUAUGUGAAGAGCUUUGGCAUCCAGCAAGUAAUCACAUAAAUCUGUCACUUGAUGGUGUUGAGAUUAUUUCUAACAGUAGUGCAUCAGUGUUUGCUGUUCGUAAGGCACAUGAAAUAAGUGAUCGUUGUAAAAUGGCAUCUGCCAAAUGUGGUGGUUGCUACAUGUACAGUAAUUUACGUGGUUGUGAUGGAGGAAGAAUGUACUUCAAUGGAUCAUCAAGUAUAUCAAUGAAUGGUGAUAUUAUCACCCAAGGAAAGCAAUUUUCCCUUGAAGCUGUUGAAGUUAAUGUUGCUACAUUUGAUCUAGAAGACAUCAGAGUGUAUAGAAAUAUAAUAAGAUGUAGAACACAUUCAGCAGCCAAGUCAGAACCAUAUCCUCGAGUUAAAGUUGAUUUUGCUUUGUCAUCAGAGAGUAUGAGCUUUCAAUUAACUGAUUAUCCUACGGAUUUAAAUCCUUUUGAGAAUGAGUAUGGUGAAAGUAAUGAAAGAAAAACACAACUUCAUACACCUGAGGAAGAGAUAGCGAUGGGACCUGCUUGUUGGAUGUGGGAUUAUCUGAGGAGAUCAUGCCAAGGUGGAUUUUUUUUACCGUUAAGUGGUGGUAUUGAUUCAUCAUCUACUGCUUGCCUUGUCUAUUCCAUGUGUAAUAUGAUUGUUGAUGCUGUUGAACAAGGAGAUCGUCAAGUGCUUUUAGAUGUUCAAAAAAUUGUUGGAGAUUAUGAGUAUAUUCCUAAGGAUCCAAAGCAACUGUGUAAUACACUUUUGGUUACCUGUUACAUGGGAACUGAAAAUUCAUCAGUUGAAACUAAAGCUAGGGCUACUGAACUGGCUAGUCAAAUAGGCUCUUAUCAUCGGAAUAUUGUGCUGGAUACUGCGGUAUCAGCUAUUUUAGGUAUCUUUCAGCAAGUAACUAAAUUAACACCCAAGUUUAGAGUUCAUGGAGGAUCACCAAGGGAGAAUCUAGCUCUUCAAAACAUCCAGGCACGUUUGCGCAUGGUAUUAUCCUACUUCUUCGCCCAAUUGAUGCUCUGGGUUCGAAAUCGUCCUGGUGGCCUCCUAGUUCUUGGAUCCAGCAACGUUGAUGAAGCUUUAAGAGGCUAUUUUACAAAAUAUGAUUGCAGCAGUGCUGAUAUCAAUCCUAUUGGUGGAAUAUCUAAAGAUGAUUUGAAGAAUUUUAUUGCUUAUUUUAGAGUUAAAUAUAAUAUAACAGCUUUGGAUAAGAUUAUCAAAGCUCCAGCUACUGCUGAAUUGGAACCUCUUCAAGAUGGCCAGCUAGCACAGUUGGAUGAAGUUGAUAUGGGAAUGACUUAUAAAGAACUUUCAACUUAUGGGAAACUUAGGAAGAUCCAUUGUGCUGGACCUUUCUCCAUGUUCUGUAAAUUAGUACCUUUGUGGUCCAAUUCAACUCCCAAGGAAGUUGCUGAUAAGGUCAAACAUUUUUAUCGAUGCUAUGCUAUUAAUCGACAUAAGAUGACCAUUCUUACACCAUCUUGUCAUGUUGAAUCCUAUUCACCGGAGGAUAAUAGGUUUGAUUUGAGGCCAUUUUUGUACAAUCAUACUUGGAAGUGGCAGUUUGAUGCCAUUGAUGAGCAGGUGUAUCAGAUGAGUAUAUUAGAAAAUACCAGUGAAAAAAGGAAAGAUGCUACUUUAGUGCCUAUUAAGCACUGUAAUUUACAAACUAAUUAUUAAUGACGAGAGAUAAAAUGAAACAACGACGAAGAAAAAGUGGUAACUAGUGUAACAAGUGAGAGAGACAUGAACGCUAGCAACAGCAAUACUUGAACACACGAGAGUAUUAUAUGUGAGAAUUACGACAAUUUUACUGCACAAAGUCACUGUCACACAAUUUUUCUUGCUUCCGCAUACUUUUACAUUUCCUCUUUAUUAACUUCUGCAAGGUCAACAGCUAUCUAAAUGUUACAUUUAAUAUAUUCUCGGUGUUUCUCAAGUGAAAGAAUAGAGUACAAGAGUGAAUUUUCAACCUAAAGGAAAGAGGAUGGACAAGUUUGUGAGUGUAGAGAAAAGAAGGAGGACAAGAUUCGAAGUGAGGACAUUCACCUUUUCUCGUAUGCGUUUAUAUGGUAGAGAAAGAGUGAGAAGAAGAAGGAUGUAUAUUGGGUAAGGUGAGGUGGUGGAGUAUAGAUGUAAGACGGGACAA
rnacentral:misc_RNA from 1 species